rnacentral:rRNA from 1 species
CGUGAGGGAAGAAUAAAUGACGGUACCUCACAAGAAAGCACCGGCUAACCCUGUGCCAGCAGCCGCGGUAAGUACAGGGGGGUGCAAGCGUUGCUCGGAAUUACUGGGCGUAAAGCGUCCGCAGGUGGGCGUGUGUGUCGGGUGUGAAAGCCCAGGGGCUCAACCCUGGAACUGCACUCGAAACUGCACGUCUUGAGUACGGGAGAGGAGGGCGGAAUUCCUGGUGUAGAGGUGAAAUUCGUAGAUAUCAGGAGGAACACCGGUGGCGAAAGCGGCCCUCUGGUCCGAUACUGACACUCAUGGACGAGAGCGCGGGGAGCAAACAGGAUUAGAUACCCUGGUAGUCCGCGCUGUAAACGAUGGAUGCUAGCUGAUGGUAGCUCUUACCGCUUCAUUGGCGUCGCUAACGCAUUGAGCAUCCCGCCUGGGGAGUACGGUCGCUAAGAUUUAAAACUCAAAGGAAUUGACGGGGG